GACGAACGCUGGCGGCGUGCCUAACACAUGCAAGUCGAACGGAGCACUUCGGUGCUUAGUGGCGAACGGGUGAGUAACGCGUGAGAAACCUGCCUUUCAGUGGGGGACAACAGUUGGAAACGACUGCUAAUACCGCAUAAUGUAUUUAGGGGGCAUCCCUUGAAUACCAAAGCUUUAUGUGCUGAAAGAUGGUCUCGCGUCUGAUUAGCUAGAUGGCGGGGUAACGGCCCACCAUGGCGACGAUCAGUAGCCGGUCUGAGAGGAUGAACGGCCACAUUGGGACUGAGAUACGGCCCAGACUCCUACGGGAGGCAGCAGUGGGGAAUAUUGGGCAAUGGGCGAAAGCCUGACCCAGCAACGCCGCGUGAAGGAAGAAGGCCCUCGGGUUGUAAACUUCUUUUACCAGGGACGAAGAAAGUGACGGUACCUGGAGAAAAAGCAACGGCUAACUACGUG
rnacentral:rRNA from 1 species